rnacentral:tRNA from 1 species
GGGCGUGUGGUCUAGUGGUAUGAUUCUCGCUUUGGGUAAAACCGGGAUUUCGACUCUGGUUGAUAUCUUCAAGCAUGCGAGAGGCCCUGGGUUCAAUUCCCAGCUCGCCCC